rnacentral:rRNA from 1 species
CGGUGUUCAACUGGCGUGUCCGCGGGACGUCCUGCCGGUGGGCUUAGCCCGCAAGGGCGGCCCAACUUCAAAUCCCAUCGCGGUGCUCUUCACUGAGUGUCGAGGUGGGCCGGCACGUUUACUUUGAACAAAUUAGAGUGCUUAAAGCAGGCUAAAACUUCGCCUGAAUACUGUGUGCAUGGAAUAAUGGAAUAGGACCUCGGUUCUAUUUUGUUGGUUUUCGGAACCCCGAGGUAAUGAUUAAUAGGAACGGAUGGGGGCAUUCGUAUUGCGACGUUAGAGGUGAAAUUCUUGGAUCGUCGCAAGACGGACAGAAGCGAAAGCAUUUGCCAAAAACGCUUUCAUUGAUUAAGAACGAAAGUUAGAGGUUCGAAGGCGAUCAGAUACCGCCCUAGUUCUAACCAUAAACGAUGCCAGCUAGCGAUCCGUCGACGUUCCUCCGAUGACUCGACGGGCAGCUUCCGGGAAACCAAAGCUUUUGGGUUCCGGGGGAAGUAUGGUUGCAAAGCUGAAACUUAAAGGAAUUGACGGAAGGGCACCACCAGGAGUGGAGCCUGCGGCUUAAUUUGACUCAACACGGGAAACCUCACCAGGCCCGGACACCGGAAGGAUUGACAGAUUGAGAGCUCUUUCUUGAUUCGGUGGGUGGUGGUGCAUGGCCGUUCUUAGUUGGUGGAGCGAUUUGUCUGGUUAAUUCCGAUAACGAACGAGACUCUAGCCUGCUAACUAGGCGUAUUUUCGACAUCUCAAAGGUCCGUCGUCCCGGCCCUCGGGUCGUGGGCGUGCGCGAUUUUUACUGUCGGCGUACUAUCAAUUCUUCUUAGAGGGACAGGUGGCUUCUAGCCGCACGAGAUUGAGCAAUAACAGGUCUGUGAUG